UACGGGGGGGGCAAGCGUUGUUCGGAAUUACUGGGCGUAAAGGGCUCGUAGGCGGCCAACUAAGUCAGACGUGAAAUCCCUCGGCUUAACCGGGGAACUGCGUCUGAGACUGGAUGGCUCGAGUGUGGGAGAGGGAUGCGGAAUUCCAGGUGUAGCGGUGAAAUGCGUAGAUAUCUGGAGGAACAUCGGUGGCGAAGGCGGCAUCCUGGACCAUGACUGACGCUGAGUGAGCGAAAGCCAGGGGAGCAAACGGG
rnacentral:rRNA from 1 species